rnacentral:rRNA from 1 species
CCUACGGGCCGCACCAGUGGGGAAUAUUGCACAAUGGGCGCAAGCCUGAUGCAGCCAAGCCGCGUGUGUGAAGAUGGCCUUCGGGUUGUAAAGCACUUUCAGCGGGGAGGAAGGCGAUAAGGUUAAUAACCUUGUCGAUUGACGUUACCCGCAGAAGAAGCACCGGCUAACUCCGUGCCAGCAGCCGCGGUAAUACGGAGGGUGCAAGCGUUAAUCGGAAUUACUGGGCGUAAAGCGCACGCAGGCGGUCUGUCAAGUCGGAUGUGAAAUCCCCGGGCUCAACCUGGGAACUGCAUUCGAAACUGGCAGGCUAGAGUCUUGUAGAAGGGGGUAGAAUUCCAGGUGUAGCGGUGAAAUGCGUAGAGAUCUGGAGGGAUACCGGUGGCGAAGGCGGCCCCCUGGACAAAGACUGACGCUCAGGUGCGAAAGCGUGGGGAGCAAACAGGAUUAGAUACCCCAGUAGUC